rnacentral:rRNA from 1 species
CUGGCGGCGUGCCUAACACAUGCAAGUCGAACGGAGAUUACACGCUGACGAGACUUCGGUCAAAUCUUGUGUAAUCUUAGUGGCGGACGGGUGAGUAACGCGUGGGCAACCUGCCUCAUACUGGGGGAUAGCAGUUGGAAACGACUGAUAAUACCGCAUAAGCGCACUAAUGUCGCAUGACACAGUGUGAAAAACUCCGGUGGUAUGAGAUGGGCCCGCGUCAGAUUAGCUAGUUGGUAAGGUAACGGCUUACCAAGGCGACGAUCUGUAGCCGGACUGAGAGGUCGGACGGCCACAUUGGGACUGAGACACGGCCCAAACUCCUACGGGAGGCAGCAGUGGGGGAUAUUGCACAAUGGAGGAAACUCUGAUGCAGCGACGCCGCGUGAGUGAAGAAGUAUUUCGGUAUGUAAAGCUCUAUCAGCAGGGAAGAAAGGCCCGCAAGGGAGAUGACGGUACCUGACUAAGAAGCCCCGGCUAACUACGUGCC